CCAGACUCCUACGGGAGGCAGCAGUGGGGAAUAUUGCACAAUGGGGGGAACCCUGAUGCAGCGACGCCGCGUGAGUGAAGAAGUAUUUCGGUAUGUAAAGCUCUAUCAGCAGGGAAGAUAAUGACGGUACCUGACUAAGAAGCCCCGGCUGACUACGUGCCAGCAGCCGCGGUAAUACGUAGGGGGCAAGCGUUAUCCGGAUUUACUGGGUGUAAAGGGUGCGUAGGUGGCAGGGCAAGUCAGAUGUGAAAGCCCGGGGCCCAACCCCGGUACUGCAUUUGAAACUGUCCGGCUGGAGUGCAGGAGAGGUAAGCGGAAUUCCUAGUGUAGCGGUGAAAUGCGUAGAUAUUAGGAGGAACACCAGUGGCGAAGGCGGCUUGCUGGACGACGACUGACGUUGAGGCUCGAAAGCGUGGGGAGCAAACAGGAUUAGAUACCCCCGUA
rnacentral:rRNA from 1 species